AAGCAAGACCACGUCCAGAGUCCAAAGGGUCUAAAUUUAACUGAGUGUGUUUUCACCCCAUAGGGUUCCAUUGGGCUGCCUGGCAUUCCAGGUAUUGAUGGAUUCAAGGGUGAAAAAGGAGAGCGGGGUGAAAAGGGUGACAUGGGAGAAGAAGGCCAGAAAGGUGAAGUUGGUGAGAAGGUAAGCCUGUAAAAGGAUAUAUCUGUGUAACCAAUGAAUUUCUUACAUAAAAGAAACUAC
ensembl:lncRNA